rnacentral:lncRNA from 10 species
AAGAAGGGGACCCAGUGAGCGUUAGGGGAGGGUCUGUCAUGCCCAGAAGAGAGUUAUUAGCUCUCAGGUGGCAGCAGAAGCCAGGGGGUUGAACCAAAUCACACAGAAAGAUUGGAUGCUGUGAGAAAAUAAGGCCACAGAUGAAGUCAUAAUGAAUCCCAACAUUUUAUGACAUGGACCCAGGAACAGAAGACCGCAAAGUGGGCUGGGAUCUGUGAGCCCAGAAAAGCAACGUUCCACCAAAGUCAAGGGAGGCUGGAAUGUCAAAUUGGAGGUGUCUAGGAGUGUCAAAUAUUGCAGAAGGUGUUAAAAAGGACCGAAAAGUGUCUGCUGAGAUUUGCUAUCCAGAAGCACAGCUCAAAAUGGCCUCUGCAGAAUAAAUGGAAUGAGCUAGGUGUGGAACUCCAGGCACAGCGGUCAAUUAAGGGCUGUUCAUUAACAUUUCAAGCACUGCAGAUAGGUGGGUCUUAGCAGCUGGAGUUAAGUAGUGUGUUCUGAUAG